GAAAAAGAAGCGAAAAAUCGCAAUCAGUUUCGACCUGAAAAUUUGGUAUCAUUACCCUUUCUCU
rnacentral:tRNA from 1 species